GUGCCAGCAGUCGCGGUAAUACGUAAAAGACGAGUGUUAUUCAUCUUUAAUCGGUUUAAAGGGUACCUAGACGGAAAAUCAAGCUUAAUUAAACUAAGGACUAGUUUUCUAGAGUUUGACAUGAGAAGGUACGAACUAUCAGAGGAGAGAUAAAAUUUGUUGAUACUGGUGGGACGGACAACGGCGAAGGCAAUCUUCUACUAAAAACUGACGUUGAGGGACGAAGCCUUGGGGAGCGAGAAGGAUUAGAUACCCUAGUAGUCCUUGGAGAAAAUUAUGAGUGCCAUAGACUAAAGUGAAAAAGAAGUUCUUUUAAAAGAACUUUGUAUCUGAGCCUUAAUUGGAUACAAAGGUCUCGAGUAGCAGUUUAUAAAUGAAAGUGUAAGCAUUCCACCUCAUGACUAAAGCGGCAACGCCCAAAUUGAAAUCAUUAGACCGUUUCUGAAACCAGUAGUGAAGUAUGUUAUUUAAUUCGAUAACCCGCGAAUAACCUUACCACGUUUUGAAUUUAUUAAACAAGUGUUGCACGGCUGUCUUCAGUUAAUGUCGUGAGAUUUUGGUUUGUUCCAUUAAUUAACGAAAACCCUUGUUUCAUUUUUAUAUGAAAUAGUUCACCGUUAUAUUGGAAAGAUAAAAGGGAUCAAGACAAGUCAUCAUG
rnacentral:rRNA from 1 species